GUCGAACGCGAACUGCUCCUUCGGGAGCCUAGUAGAGUGGCAAACGGGUGAGUAACGCGUGGGUAACGUACCCUGAUCCUGGGAAUGAGCCCUCGGAAACGAGGGCUAAUACCGAAUGUGGCGAACGACCGGUUGGUCGCUCGCUAAAGGUGGCCUCUUCUAUGCUGCCGGGUUGGGAUCGGCCCGCGUCCCAUUAGCUAGUUGGUGAGGUAACGGCUCACCAAGGCCACGAUGGGUAGCCGGCCUGAGAGGGUGUACGGCCACACUGGCACUGAGACAAGGGCCAGUCCCCUAUGGGAGGCGCAGGCGGGAAUAGUUCACAAUGGGCGAAAGCCUGAUGACGCGACGCCGCGUGAGCGAAGAAGACCUUCGGGUUGUAAAGCUCUGUCAGGAGGGAAGAAGGCUCUACGGGUCAAUAGCCCGUGGGAUUGACGGUACCUCCAGAGGAAGCCCCGGCUAAAUACGUGCCAGCAGCCGCGGUAAUACGUAUGGGGCAAGCGUUGUCCGGAUUUACUGGGCGUAAAGGGCGCGUAGGCGGUUUGUUAAGUCGAAGGUGAAAUCCUCGGGCUCAACUCGAGAAUUGCCUUCGAUACUGGCAAACUAGAGUGGCGGAGAGGAAAGCGGAACUCUUGGUGUAACGGUGGAAUGUGUAGAUAUCAAGAGGAACACCGGUGGCGAAGGCGGCUUUCCUGGACGCACACUGACGCU
rnacentral:rRNA from 1 species